CUUCGAUCUUUCGACAGAUAGAUCAACUAUGGGGCCCGUUACAACUGGACUUGUUCGCAUCCAGACUGAACGCUCAACUACCCCAAUACUUCAGUUGGAGACCGGAUCCAUCAGCCACGGCGGUGGACGCGUUCCUGCAGAUAUGGCCUCGGGGUCGUCACUUUGCGUUUCCCCCUUUCAACCUGAUCUCUUGGACGCUGGCAUACUUGUCCGGUCAAGAGUGCACAUUGGUGGUGAUAGUUUCCCUAUGGCAGACUCAGCCUUGGUUCCCCCGUCUCUUGGAGAUGGCGGCGGAAUGCCCACGAAUGAUCAGGAUGCGAC